rnacentral:rRNA from 1 species
GACGAACGCUGGCGGCGUGCUUAACACAUGCAAGUCGAACGGAAAGGCCCCUUUGUGGGUACUCGAGUCACGAACGGGCGAGUAACACGUAAGUAACCUGCCCUCGACUUCGGGUGAACUACAGGCUACUGAGGCCAAUACCUACUGGAUAUGAUUGCUGCCUGCAUGGGGUUUGUAAGCUUCGGCGGUUUUGGAUGGACUCGCGGGCUAUCUGCCUGUUGGUGGGGGAGUCGCUUACCAAGGCAUUGACGGGUAGGCAGCCCGGGGGGGGGACCGGCCAAAAUGGGACUUGGAUACGGCCCAGACUCCUACGGGAGGCAGGAGGGGGGAAAAUUGGAAAAUGGGGGGAAGGCUGAUGCAGCAACGCCGCGGGCGGGAUGACGGCCUUCGGGUUGGAAACCGCUUUCAGCAGGGGCGAAGCUUGUGGUGACGGUACCUGCAGAAGAAGCACCGGCUAACUACGUG